GUAAUGUGAUGUGGUGUAGUGGGGUGUGGUGUAAUGUGGUGUGGUGUGGUGUAGUGUAAUGUGGUGUGGUGUGUAGUGGUGUGGUGUGGAGUUGUGUGGUGUGGUGUGGUGGGGUGUAGUGUGGUGUGGUGUGGUGUAGUGUGGUGUAGUGUGGUGUGGUGUAAUAUGAUGUGGUGUGGUGUAGUGUGGUGUAGUGUGGUGUGGUGUAAUGUGGUGUAAUGUGGUGUGGUGUGGUGUAGUGUGGUGUAGUGUGGUGUGGUGUGGUGUGGUGUGAUGUGGUGUAGUGUGGUGUGGUGUGGUGUAGUGUGGUGUGGUGUAGUGUGGUGUGGUGUGGUGUAGUGUAGUGUGGUGUAGUGUGGUGUGGAGUGGUGUAUUGGGGUGUGGUGUGGUGUAAUGUGAUGUGGAGUGGUGUGGUGUGGUGUGGUGUGGUGUAGUGUGGUGUAGUGUGGUGUGGUGUAGUGUAGUGUGGUGUGGUUUGGUGUAGUGUAGUGUGGUGUGGUGUAGUGGGGUGUGGUGUGGUGUAGUGUGGUGUGGUGUGGUGUGGUGUAGUGGGGUGUAAUGUGGUGUAGUGUGGUGUGGUGUAGUGUAGUGUGGUGUGGUGUAAUGUGGUGUAAUGCAGUGUGGUGUGGUGUAGUGUGGUGCAAUGUGGUGUGGUGUGGUGUAGUGUGGUGUGGUGUAGUGUAGUGUGGUGUGGUGUAAUGUGGUGUAAUGUGAUGUGGUGUAGUGUAGUGUGGUGUGGUGUAAUGUGGUGUAAUGUGGUGUAGUGUAGUGUGGUGUAAUGUGGUGUAGUGUGGUGUGGUGUAGUGCGGUGUGGUGUAGUGUAGUGUGGUGUAGUGUAGUGUGGUGUGGUGUAGUGGGGUGUGGUGUGGUGUAGUGUGGUGUGGUGUGGUGUGGUGUAGUGGGGUGUGGUGUGGUGUGGUGUAGUGGGGUUUGGUGUAGUGUAGUGUGGUGUGGUGUGGUGUGGUGUAGUGGGGUGUAGUGUAGUGUGGUGUGGUGUGGUGUAGUGGGGUGUGGUGUAGUGUAGUGUGGUGUAGUGUGGUGUAGUGUGGUGUGGUGUAGUGGGGUGUGGUGUGGUGUAGUGUGGUGUGGUGUGGUGUGGUGUAGUGGGGUGUAGUGUAGUGUAGUGUAGUGUGGUGUGGUGUGGUGUAGUGUGGUGUAGUGUGGUGUAGUGCAGUGUGGUGUAGUGUGGUGUAG
ensembl:lncRNA